rnacentral:rRNA from 1 species
AAUGAACGCCGGCGGCAGGCCUAACACAUGCAAGUCGAACGAGGUAGCAAUACCUAGUGGCGGACGGGUGAGUAACGCGUGGGAACGUGCCCCUUGGUACGGAAUAGCCCUGGGAAACUGGGAGUAAUACCGUAUGUGGUCGAGAGACGAAAGACUUAUCGCCAAGGGAUCGGCCCGCGUUGGAUUAGGUAGUUGGUGGGGUAAUGGCCUACCAAGCCGACGAUCCAUAGCUGGUUUGAGAGGAUGAUCAGCCACACUGGGACUGAGACACGGCCCAGACUCCUACGGGAGGCAGCAGUGGGGAAUCUUAGACAAUGGGGGAAACCCUGAUCUAGCCAUGCCGCGUGAUCGAUGAAGGCCUUGGGGUUGUAAAGAUCUUUCAGUGGGGAAGAUAAUGACGGUACCCACAGAAGAAGCCCCGGCUAACUCCGUGCCAGCCGCCGCCGUAA